rnacentral:rRNA from 1 species
UACGUAGGCAGCGAGCGUUGUUCGGAAUUACUGGGCGUAAAGAGUGUGUAGGCGGUGCUCUAAGUUCGGUGUGAAAUCUCCUGGCUCAACUGGGAGGGUGCGCCGGAAACUGGAGUGCUUGAGCGUGGGAGAGGAAAGCGGAAUUCCUGGUGUAGCGGUGAAAUGCGCAGAUAUCAGGAGGAACACCUGUGGUGUAGACAGCUUUCUGGACCAUUGCUGACGCUGAGACACGAAAGCGUGGGUAGCAAACAGG